AUUGAACGCUGGCGGCAGGCCUAACACAUGCAAGUCGAACGAGUGGCGGACGGGUGAGUAAUGUCUGGGAAACUGCCCGAUGGAGGGGGAUAACUACUGGAAACGGUAGCUAAUACCGCAUACCAUCGGAUGUGCCCAGAUGGGAUUAGCUAGUAGGUGGGGUAACGGCUCACCUAGGCGACGAUCCCUAGCUGGUCUGAGAGGAUGACCAGCAACACUGGAACGGAGAAACGGUCCAGACUCCGACGGGAGGAAGCAGUGGGGAAUAUUGCACAAUGGGCGCAAGCCGGAUGAAGCCAUGCCGCGUGGAUGAAGAAGGCUUUCGGGUGGUAAAGUACGUUCAGAGGGGAGGCGUUACUCGCAGAAGAAGCACCGGCUAACUCCGUGCCAGCAGCCGCGGUAAUAC
rnacentral:rRNA from 1 species